UAAAGAAUCUUCCGCAAUGGGGGCAACCCUGACGGAGCGACACCGCGUGAAGGACGAAGUCCUAUUGGAUGUAAACUUCUUUUGUGUGGGAGCAAAUUUUUGAGUCUACCACACGAAUAAGGACCGGCUAAUCACGUGCCAGCAGCCGCGGUAAUACGUGAGGUCCAAGCGUUAUCCGGAAUCACUGGGCGUAAAGCGUCCGCAGCCGGAAAGAAAAGUCUGGGGUUAAAUUUUCUCGCCCAACGGGAAAAAUGCUCUGGAAACUACCUUUCUGGAGUAGUGCAGGGGCAAGUGGAAUUCCUAUUGUAGGGGUAAAAUCCGUAGAUAAUAGGAGGAACACCAAACGCGAAGGCAACUUGCUGGGCACUUACUGACGGUCAGGGACGAAAGCGUGGGGAGC
rnacentral:rRNA from 1 species